rnacentral:rRNA from 1 species
AGAGUUUGAUCCUGGCUCAGGACGAACGCUGGCGGCGUGCCUAACACAUGCAAGUCGUACGGGCUUGAGGGGCAACUUUCAAGUCAGUGGCGAACGGGUGCGUAACACGUGAGCAACUUGCCCUAAGGUGGGGGAUAGCCGGCCCAACGGCCGGGUAAUACCGCAUAUGGCAUCGAGGUCACAUGGCCUUGGUGGGAAAGCGGCCGCAAGGUCGCGCCAGAGGAGGGGCUCGCGACGUAUCAGCUAGUUGGCGGGGUAACGGCCCACCAAGGCUACGACGCGUAGCUGGUCUGAGAGGAUGGCCAGCCACAUUGGGACUGAGAUACGGCCCAGACUCCUACGGGAGGCAGCAGUGGGGAAUAUUGCGCAAUGGCCGCAAGGCUGACGCAGCGACGCCGCGUGUGGGAUGAAGGCCUUCGGGUUGUAAACCACUGUCGGGAGGGGCGAAUACCUGGCUUCGAACAGGAGACCAGGGGUGACGGUACCUCCAAAGGAAGCACCGGCUAACUCCGUGCCAGCCGCCGCGGUAAUAC